UCCCAGCACUUGGUAGGCAGAGCCAGGAGGAUCUCUGUGAGUUCAAGGACAUAGCCAGCAUUGGAGACACAGGCCUUUAAUCUCAAUACCAACCAUAGAAGACCUGGAGGUCUGUACAGACAGGUAGUGACGAGGCGGUCAUGUGGCUGGGUUUACAACCAAUGAGAAGGCAGGACAGAAAGUCUUUAUAAAGACAGGCACACAGGAAGUAGGUCUCUUUCAGAGAGGUAGGACCAUCGCAAGAGGAAGGGUAAGGUUUUUAGGUCUUAGCUCUGACCUCUUGACUUUCUUCUUUGCAUUGGUUCUGUGUUUCUUACUGAAUAAGAUGGUUACUUCUACAUCUCCCUAUCCUUUUUUGGGCCAGGGGAUGUGGCUUCUUUCAAAAGGCCUUCCUCCUCUUCAAGCAGACAGAUCAACGUCUCCUAGGUGCAAAGGAUGAUGAAGUCUUAGGGCAAGCAAUGUCUCUCUCUCUCUAGCUCUUUCCGCAUCUGAGGCAUGCCCAAGUCUAGGACCAGGCUGUGUGGAUGAAUCAAGGGAGGCAGCAGGCUGUGUGGACAGUCAAGGGAGGCAGCAGGCCGUGCGGACAGUCAAGGGAGGCAGCAGGCUGUGCGGACAGUCAGGAGAGGCAGCAGGCUGUGUGGACAGUCAGGAGAGGCAGCAGGCUGUGCGGACAGUCAAGGGAGGCAGCAGGCCGUGUGGAUAAGUCAAGGGAGGCAGCAGGCCCUGCUCCCACCUUUCCCACCUCAGCUGAGGAGAUCAAUUGAAGGGAACAAAAGAGCUAGAGCUCGGCUGCCUGCUUCUGGGGGCCUUCCCCCAGACAGAACAAUGAGGCUGAGUUUUACGCCAUGACAUCAUCAGCCACCAAUCACCACGGAUGAGGUGGAGCAGGUUUUGUCUGUGAACAAGAGUCUGCCAUUGCCAGGUGGCAAAGGGCAGUGCAGGUGUAAGGCGGGCAUUUUCUUUUCCCCGUUUCUGUGUGAAACUGUAGAAGAAAGCUGAGAAGCAGCGGGGAAGAGCUCGCUAAGGGAAAAGAAAAUCAGAAACCUAAAAUGCCCUGGGUGUGUGUCCCAGGCCAUCGGGGAAUGUACCUGUCCCCUCCCCCCACUGCCGGCGACAGUGGAGGCCUUUGUUCCAGGAGGCAGCCAGUGACAUCUUUCCCAGCGCUCCUUGCCAGGCAAAGAGCCAGCGUUUCAGGAAAGCGUUGGCUACCACUGGGGCUCGUGUGUGCAGUACUGGAGAACGAACCCAAGGAACAUGGAAGUUAGGCAGGUGUUGCACCCUCAGUCCUGAGAACUGCAUCGCUAACUGACAGUGGGCUUGUGAGGGAGCAGGGGCACCCCAGUGAUUGAUGGAGGUGGAGGGGGGCUGGACAAGAACAGGAUCCUCCUAACAGCUACACUGCUUAUGCUGCUUAUACACCUAACAACACUGGGCACUUCGGUGCUCCCCAAACUUUCUACACGCAGUCUGUAUGAAACGCCAUCAAAUAAAAAUGUCUCACGCACUGUA